rnacentral:rRNA from 1 species
UACAGAGGGUGCAAGCGUUGUUCGGAAUUAUUGGGCGUAAAGGGAGUGUAGGCGGCUUGUUAAGUCUUCUGUGAAAUCUCCGGGCUCAACCCGGAAACUGCCAUUGAUACUAUUAGUCUUGAAUAUUGUUGAGGUAGGCGGAACGGGUCAUGUAGCGGUGAAAUGCAUAGAUAUGACCCGGAACACCGAUUGCGAAGGCAGCCUACUAAGCAAUUAUUGACGCUGAGGCACGAAAGCGUGGGGAUCAAACAGG